UACGCCGAAAAUAGAUUAUACGGUUAUAAAGACAAAAAUAUACAUAUUGGUGCCGUUCGGUUUCAUGUAACAACUGUACAAGCGAUGUCACCCCGAAUGCAGUUUCACGAUGUACAUAUACUUCAUUGUUUUUCACGUAUAGAGAAGGAAAAGAAUCAACAUAUGUCAGCAGUUUAAAUUUUCCACCUACUCAACUCUAGAUAGCUGUUCCUGUGGAAUCUGAUGUAUGAAAAGAUCUCUGUGUGUUGCAAACACUAGAAUGGGCUAAGAAUCAUAUUCAUGUGUCAAAGCCUGAAAUCUGCAUGGCGCAGUUGUUAGAGCAGCUCUCAAUUGUCUUAAAGUAAGGAGCACUGUGGAACGUGGAGGCCAGUCCUUUGGAUGAGACUGUAUAAACUGUGUUCCCCUGCUGCAGUAGACUUUGGCAUCAAAAAGAUCCCUCAGAACUCAAUGGCCAAAAGUACCGAGUAUAGGUUUAAAGCUGCAGCCCUCCACCAGCAAGUGGUAGCGUCUUCAUAUGAGUGAAAAAAAUUCUUGAGAGGGACAUUACACAGCA